UCUUUCUUUGCUGGCGACCGGCGCACGGGUGAGUAACACGUAUCCAACCUGCCCUUUACUCGGGGAUAGCCUUUCGAAAGAAAGAUUAAUACCCAUAGUAUAAUGAUUCCGCAUGGUUUCAUUAUUAAAGGAUUCCGGUAAAGGAUGGGGAUGCGUUCCAUUAGGUUGUUGGUGAGGUAACGGCUCACCAAGCCUUCGAUGGAUAGGGGUUCUGAGAGGAAGGUCCCCCACAUUGGAACUGAGACACGGUCCAA
rnacentral:rRNA from 1 species